rnacentral:tmRNA from 1 species
UUCUCAAAAGCGUAUCCUUCAAUUGCUCUUUGAGCUAUGGACAUAAAUGCGCUCGUAAUAAGCGGAUCGGACCCGGGGGCGGUACCCGGCGACUCCACCAAAAACCGGUCAUUUGACGGAUACGGGGUCGAAAUAGGAUCGACGAACGUCUAAAGGAGUUAGCUUUGUCUCGGCGAGACACCACCGCAUCGGUUCAAACAGUACAAUUGCAAAUGACAAUCGUGCUCCAGUAGCGAUGGCUGCGUAAGCAACCGGAGUUAUUGAAACUUUAAGUCCUGAAGCCUAGCAGCGUCAGGCGGGGUUCGCAGGCGCCUGGCAACAGAAGCCU